rnacentral:rRNA from 1 species
GGGGGGGCGCAGGCCUACCAUGCAAGUCGAGCGGAUGACGGGAGCUUGCUCCUUGAUUCAGCGGCGGACGGGUGAGUAAUGCCUAGGAAUCUGCCUGGUAGUGGGGGACAACGUUCCGAAAGGGGCGCUAAUACCGCAUACGUCCUACGGGAGAAAGUGGGGGAUCUUCGGACCUCACGCUAUCAGAUGAGCCUAGGUCGGAUUAGCUAGUUGGUGAGGUAAAGGCUCACCAAGGCGACGAUCCGUAACUGGUCUGAGAGGAUGAUCAGUCACACUGGAACUGAGACACGGUCCAGACUCCUACGGGAGGCAGCAGUGGGGAAUAUUGGACAAUGGGCGAAAGCCUGAUCCAGCCAUGCCGCGUGUGUGAAGAAGGUCUUCGGAUUGUAAAGCACUUUAAGUUGGGAGGAAGGGCAGUAAGUUAAUACCUUGCUGUUUUGACGUUACCGACAGAAUAAGCACCGGCUAACUCUGUGCCAGCAGCCGCGGUAAUACAGAGGGUGCAAGCGUUAAUCGGAAUUACUGGGCGUAAAGCGCGCGUAGGUGGUUCGUUAAGUUGGAUGUGAAAGCCCCGGGCUCAACCUGGGAACUGCAUCCAAAACUGGCGAGCUAGAGUAUGGUAGAGGGUGGUGGAAUUUCCUGUGUAGCGGUGAAAUGCGUAGAUAUAUGAAGGGGACCAUUGGCGAAUGCGACAACCUGGAGGGAUACAGACAUUG